AUAAGCAUAUCAAUAAGCGGAGGAAAAGAAACCAACAGGGAUUGCCUUAGUAACGGCGAGUGAAGCGGCAAAAGCUCAAAUUUGAAAUCUGGCGUCUUCGGCGUCCGAGUUGUAAUUUGAAGAAGGCUACUUUGGGGCUGGAGUUUGUCUAAGUUCCUUGGAACAGGACGUCACAGAGGGUGAGAAUCCCGUGAGAUAAGCUUCCCAGUUCUAUGUAAAGUGCUUUCGAAGAGUCGAGUUGUUUGGGAAUGCAGCUCUAAGUGGGUGGUAAAUUCCAUCUAAAGCUAAAUAUUGGCGAGAGACCGAUAGCGAACAAGUACAGUGAUGGAAAGAUGAAAAGAACUUUGAAAAGAGAGUGAAAAAGUACGUGAAAUUGUUGAAAGGGAAGGGCUUGAGAUCAGACAUGGUAUUUUGUAAACCUUCUCUCUCGUGGAGGGGGCCCCUUGCAGCUUACUGGGCCAGCAUCAGUUUGGGCGGUAGGAUAAUGACUAAGGAAUGUGACUUGCCUUCGGGGAAGUGUUAUAGCCUUGGUUGAUACUGCCAGCCUAGACUGAGGACCGCGUCUUUGACAAGGAUGUUGGCAUAAUGAUCUUAAGCCACCCGUCU
rnacentral:rRNA from 1 species